rnacentral:lncRNA from 1 species
AUGACUGAUGUUGGGUUUGACGAGUUCACCUUAACCCUAAUUCAGUCGGGACUCAUGAUAGAGGAACUCAAUCACACAAGUAGCUGCACUGAGAGGUUCAUCUUCAGUUCUGAUGGGUUGCCACCAUAUACUGCUAGGUGUCACUGAUGGAUUUUGAGAGCAAUUAGAAUGAUUUUGAUGAUCGAUCAUUCUAAUUGUCUGAAUCAGAAGAGUUCUGAUCCAUCGAAAGGAGUUUCGAUGAUGUCGAUGAUGAGAUCAUGACAUAUCUCAUUACCAUACAGAAUUGAACCUAACUGGGUCACACAAACAAGGGUUAGGAUCUGGAUGUCAUCAAUUGGGCUAGCCCAAUUGAUUUGGAUAAGAUCCAAUUAGGUUCAAGGAAAUCAUGCUAGCACUUGAUUGAGCCUAACUUUCUCC